GCCCAGGUGGCGAAACUGGUAGACGCACUACCUUGAGGUGGUAGCGCCCGCAAGGGUUUGAGGGUUCAAAUCCCUCCCUGGGCA
rnacentral:tRNA from 1 species